AUUGAACGCUGGCGGCAGGCCUAACACAUGCAAGUCGAACGAAGUCUUCGGACUUAGUGGCGGACGGGUGAGUAACACGUGGGAACGUACCUUUUGGUUCGGAACAACUCAGGGAAACUUGAGCUAAUACCGGAUGAGCCCUUAGGGGGAAAGAUUUAUCGCCGAAAGAGCGGCCCGCGUUAGAUUAGCUAGUUGGUGAGGUAAAGGCUCACCAAGGCUACGAUCUAUAGCUGGUCUGAGAGGAUGAUCAGCCACACUGGGACUGAGACACGGCCCAGACUCCUACGGGAGGCAGCAGUGGGGAAUCUUGCGCAAUGGGCGAAAGCUUGACGCAGCCAUGCCGCGUGAAUGAUGAAGGUCUUAGGAUUGUAAAAUUCUUUUACCAGGGACGAUAAUGACGGUACCUGGAGAAAAAGCCCCGGCUAACUUCGUGCCAGCCGCCGCAGUAAGAC
rnacentral:rRNA from 1 species